GCCUGGGUGGCUCAGUGGUUGAGCGUCUGCCUUCAGCUCAGGGUGUGAGCUGAGUCCUGGAGUCCUGGGAUUGAGCCCCAGAUCGGGCU
rnacentral:tRNA from 1 species